CGAUACCUGGGAUGGAACACAGGAGGAUCAGACAGUACAUAACCAUAAUAGGAUUAUAUCAUCAUAUCCUAUCUUCCAAUUAUCUCAUUGUAUUGUAUCGUGUCCUACGCUCUCCUAUCCUACGACACCCCACACCAUCCCAUCAUAUGUUUGUAGACUACCCUCCGGCUACGUAGAUAAGCUGUGUUCCACGGUGAGGCGCAGGGGGGAGGGGCUUCCUCAACGCCAUUUCCUGGAAUAUCUUAGACAGGAAGUCUCUACAGGAGUUGGCCUGGAAUGAAGGAAGGUAUCAAUCAAUCCCAGCAGCCGGUCAUAGAUGAAUAGACGACAUAGGUUUCAUAGAUAGGGACUUGCCUUGCUGAGGAUGGGGCAGGACUGGAGCUGUAUCUUGAUGAACUUGGGAGGCAGAGCGUAGACGUGGAGAGCAUUGAGGAGGGCGUGGAGAUACGGAGCUCUGCUCUCCACGUCCCAUCGCACCCAGUCUGUACAAGCCUUGUACACCUGACAUCAAGGGGCUCAUGGUCAAACUUUGGCAGGCGGUUAUCUUGAUUUUCACAUAGAAAUAUGCAUAUAAGUGAAGUAUAUAAAUAUACACCUCAGGAUAAACAAUGUAUAAUAGAAUAUAAAUCAAAUCCAUACCUCUGACUCACAGAGCACCUUGAGGCUGUCCUGGCUGAUGAGCUCCAACAGCUGACAGUGAGACAGACUGAAGAACUCCUCCUCUUUGGUUACCUGGGGUAGGGACAAAUAGACACACAGUCAACACGCGUCACAUGCUCACACACACAAACACAAUCCGUCAAUAAGGCAUGUCUAUGUCUGACGACGCACACUGUUUUUGUCUAUAGGGAACAGGUGACGCCAGGGGACCCUUCACCAAACAACAGUUGCAGACUUCUUAUUGGUCUUAUACAACAUUGACAAGACUUACCUACCUUGACUUUUUAAUGACGUGUCUCUUGUACACGUACUGCUUAACUGAUGUGUGUAUAUAAGGAGGGGGUCUGAGCCUCAUGAAGUGCAUCAUAUCUGAAGAGGUAUUGUUUCAGAAUGAGGGGUGCUGUAGCUCUGCUUGUGUUGCUGUUCUGUCUGUCUGGGGCAUGGACUCAGGAGGAGAGUGGAGGGUGUUCUGUCUGUCUGGGGCAUGGACUCAGGAGGAGAGUGGAGGGGUCAGAGAGAGUGACAUCACUCAACAGGGACACAGUGCAGGGUGAGUGAGGUUCAGAUGGAGAGACGACCAACGAACAGACCCCCCCCCCCCCCCCCUGACAUCUGGACCGAGAUGAAGGAGCUGAGAGACAUAGUGCACAACCUGGGAACCAUCGUGGUGGAGCAGAGAGAGAAGUAACAUGGAGGUCAGACUGACAGCCAAUGAGGCUGAGGUAUAGAAACACAGUGGUGGACCUUAGAAGCCACCAUGGGGAAGAUGAAGAUUAAAGGACACAGGUGAUUUAACAGGUAUGGUUGUAAAGGUGUAAAUUGAAGGGACUAAGUCAGUCACAGCGUCCCACUGUUUAUAGUGAUUUGAAGAAGGGUUAACAUUGUUUCAUGUUGGAUGUAAAGUUACUGGUGACUCUUAGUGUGAAUAUAUGUCUGUGGUUUUCAGGCCUGGAGGCCAGAGUGCCAGUGAGAGCUGACGAGGUCAGCUGCAGUUCUAGUAAAACGGAUGUGAACAACAUUGAUUUUGAGUUGGGGAUCAGUUAAUUUCACUAAAUCGACAUUGCUGCAGAAUUCACUGUUGCACAAGUAUAAUGUAUUAAAUACAAUCGAGAACCUGUGAACCAUAAAAUACACUGUCAUUUGCACUCUGUGAUUGUGAAUAGAAGAUUGAUGUAAUUGAAUCAGUAUCAUCAAGUAAUUCUACCGUUUUCUCUCCUGUGUUCAUGGGCACACCAAAAGUGGCAUUCUCUGCUGGUUUGAGCCACAAUGGACCUGUAGGCCCCUUCAAUAAUGUCACCACCCCGGUCUACACCAGAGUCAUCACCAAUAUCGGCAAGGCCUACGACCCGACAACAGGUAUCUCCACACCACCAGUAAGAGGAGUCUACUACUUGAGAUUCACUGCCAUGAACAACUUUUCCAUUGCCUUCAGAAAGUAUUCACACCCCUAUACUUUUUCCACAUUUUGUUGUGUUACGGCCUGAAUACAAAUUCAAUUUUGUUUGUAGAACAUUGAAAAUCUGAAAUGUCUUGAGUCAAUAAGUAAUCAACCCCUUCUUUAUGGCAAGCCUAAAUAAGUUCAGGAGUAAAACUGUGCUUAACAAGUCACAUAAUCAUUUGCAUGGACUCACUCUGUGACCACUAACAUUGAGUGGCUGCUGCCAACAUACUGACUCAAACCUCUAGCCACUUUAAUAAUUAAAAAUUGGAUGUAAUAAAUGUAUCUGUCAUGUUAUGUCUUGUCCCUGUGCUUUCUCUUCUCUUCGUUUCCCCCUGCUGGUCGUAUUAGGUUACUAUCUCUCUCUCUCUCUAUCGUUCCGUUCCUGCUCCCAGCUGUUCCCCAUUCUCCUAACGACCUCGUUUACUCUCUCACACCUGUCUCCUCUUUUGCCCUCUGAUUAAGUCUCUAUUUCUCUCUCUGUUUCUGCUUCUGUCCUUGUCGGAUUCUUGUUUGCUUUGCCCUUGUCCCGUCCUGUCGUAAUCUGCCUCUUCAUCAGAUGCUGCGUGUGAGCAGGUGUCUCUGUCCUCUACGGCCCGCGCCUACCCAGAGGGACCUGCAGUCUGUUGCCGCUAGCCCUGCAAUUCUCCUCUACUACUAGAAGGAGGACUCUCCUGCAAAGAUAGAGGAUUUAUGUUUUCCCUGUUUGGACAUCUCCUGUAAAGAUUGAGGAUUUAUGUUUUCCCUGUUUGGACAUUAAAAGACUCUGUUUCUGUUGAAUCGCUGUUGGGUCCUCACUCACCUGCAUAACAGUAUCACUAGUCACUUUAAACAAUGCCACUUUAUAUAAUAUUUACAUACCCUACAAUACUCAUCUCAUAUGUAUAUACUGUACUCUAUACCAUCUACUGCAUCUUGCCUAUGCCGUUCAGCCAUCGCUCAUCCAUAUAUUUAUAUGUACAUAAUCUUAUUAAUUAAUUUACUCUUGUGUGUAUAGGGUAGUUGUUGUGAAAUUGUUAGAUUACUCGUUAGAUAUUACUGCAUGGUCGGAACUAGAAGCACAAGCAUUUCGCUACACUCGCAUUAACAUCUGCUAACAAUGUGUAUGUGACCAAUAAAAUGUGAUUUGAUUUGAUCAAUAA